GACGUAGGGCGCGAGCGUUGUCCGGAUUUAUUGGGCGUAAAGAGCUCGUAGGCGGCUUGUUGCGUCAGCUGUGAAAACCCGCAGCUCAACUGUGGGCUUGCAGCUGAUACGGGCAGGCUUGAGUUCGGUAGGGAGACUGGAAUUCCUGGUGUGAGCGGUGAAAUGCGCAGAUAUCAGGAGGAACACCAAUGGCGAAGGCAGCUCGCUGGGACGGUACUGACGCUGAGGCGCGAAAGCCGUGGGGAGCAAACGGG
rnacentral:rRNA from 1 species